rnacentral:rRNA from 1 species
UACGUAGGGAGCAAGCGUUGUCCGGAAUCAUUGGGCGUAAAGCGCGCGUAGGUGGCUUCGUAAGUCCGUUGUGAAAGUCAAAGGCUCAACCUUUGAAAGCCGAUGGAUACUGCGGAGCUAGAGUACGGAAGAGGCGAGUGGAAUUCCUGGUGUAGCGGUGGAAUGCGCAGAUAUCGGGAGGAACACCAGUAGCGAAGGCGGCUCGCUGGGCCACACCUGACGCUGAGACGCGAAAGCUAGGGGAGCGAACAGG